rnacentral:rRNA from 1 species
AUUGAACGCUGGCGGCAUGCCUUACACAUGCAAGUCGAACGGUAACAGGUCUUCGGAUGCUGACGAGUGGCGAACGGGUGAGUAAUACAUCGGAACGUGCCCGAUCGUGGGGGAUAACGCAGCGAAAGCUGUGCUAAUACCGCGUACGAUCUACGGAUGAAAGCGGGGGAUCGCAAGACCUCGCGCGGACGGAGCGGCCGAUGGCAGAUUAGGUAGUUGGUGGGGUAAAGGCUCACCAAGCCUGCGAUCUGUAGCUGGUCUGAGAGGACGACCAGCCACACUGGGACUGAGACACGGCCCAGACUCCUACGGGAGGCAGCAGUGGGGAAUUUUGGACAAUGGGCGCAAGCCUGAUCCAGCCAUGCCGCGUGCAGGAUGAAGGCCUUCGGGUUGUAAACUGCUUUUGUACGGAACGAAAAGACUCUUUCUAAUAAAGAGGGUUCAUGACGGUACCGUAAGAAUAAGCACCGGCUAACUACGUGCCAGCCGCCGCCGUAA